rnacentral:rRNA from 1 species
GACGAACGCUGGCGGCGUGCUUAACACAUGCAAGUCGAACGGAAGGGCCCUGCUUUUGUGGGGUGCUCGAGUGGCGAACGGGUGAGUAACACGUGAGUAACCUGCCCUUGACUUUGGGAUAACUUCAGGAAACUGGGGCUAAUACCGGAUAGGAGCUCCUGCUGCAUGGUGGGGGUUGGAAAGUUUCGGCGGUUGGGGAUGGACUCGCGGCUUAUCAGCUUGUUGGUGGGGUAGUGGCUUACCAAGGCUUUGACGGGUAGCCGGCCUGAGAGGGUGACCGGCCACAUUGGGACUGAGAUACGGCCCAGACUCCUACGGGAGGCAGCAGUGGGGAAUAUUGCACAAUGGGCGGAAGCCUGAUGCAGCAACGCUGCGUGCGGGAUGACGGCCUUCGGGUUGUAAACCGCUUUCGCCUGUGACGAAGCGUGAGUGACGGUAAUGGGUAAAGAAGCACCGGCUAACUACGUG